rnacentral:lncRNA from 1 species
UCCACGUCAAGGUAUCUUCCUACAGCAACAGCACCAAUUCCAAGAGCAGCACCCGAUGCUACCAGACCGAGUGCAGUCGACGAAGUGGAAGAAGACGAGUUGAAAGGAGAAAUGGUUAGUUGGAGCAUGCGAAAA